UGGCUGCAGUUGCACUUCAUGACCUGGG
rnacentral:piRNA from 1 species